rnacentral:miRNA from 1 species
UGCUGCUGGUGUCUGGCUGAUC